rnacentral:piRNA from 1 species
UUAGUGGUGUCUGCUAGGUGCU